rnacentral:rRNA from 1 species
UUUAUAUGAGAGUUUGAUCCUGGCUCAGGACGAACGCUGGCGGCGUGCCUAAUACAUGCAAGU